GACGAACGCUGGCGGCGUGCUUAACACAUGCAAGUCGAGCGGUAAGGCCCUUUCGGGGGUACGACGAGCGGCGAACGGGUGAGUAACACGUGGGUGACCUGCCCUUAGCUCUGGGAUAAGCCUGGGAAACUGGGUCUAAUACCGGAUAUGACUCCAUGACGCAUGUUGUGGGGUGGAAAGCCUUGUGCGGCUAGGGAUGGCCCGCGGCCUAUCAGCUUGUUGGUGGGGUGAUGGCCACCAAGGCGACGACGGGUAGCCGGCCUGAGAGGGCGACCGGCCACACUGGGACUGAGACACGGCCCAGACUCCUACGGGAGGCAGCAGUGGGGAAUAUUGCGCAAUGGGCGGAAGCCUGACGCAGCGACGCCGCGUGGGGAGUGACGG
rnacentral:rRNA from 1 species